rnacentral:tRNA from 1 species
GCGAGAGUGGCGGAAUUGGCAGACGCGAUAGACUUAGGAUCUAUUGGGUAACCGUGGGGGUUCGAGUCCCCCCUUUCGCACCA